AUUGAACGCUGGCGGCAGGCCUAACACAUGCAAGUCGAACGAGUGGCGGACGGGUGAGUAAUGUCUGGGAAACUGCCCGAUGGAGGGGGAUAACUACUGGAAACGGUAGCUAAUACCGCAUACCAUCGGAUGUGCCCAGAUGGGAUUAGCUAGUAGGUGGGGUAACGGCUCCACUAGACGACGAUCCCUAGCUGGUCUGAGAGGAAGACCAGCCCAACUGGAACUGAGACACGGUCCAGACUCCUCCGGGAGGCAGCAUGGGGGAAUAGUGAACAAUGGGCGCAAGCCUGAUGCAGCCAUGCCGCGUGGAUGAAGAAGGCCUUCGGGUUGUAAAGUACUUUCAGCUAGGAGGCGUUACUCGCAGAAGAAGCACCGGCUAACUCCGUGCCAGCAGCCGCGGUAAUUC
rnacentral:rRNA from 1 species